rnacentral:rRNA from 2 species
ACUUAAAUUGAAGAGUUUGAUCAUGGCUCAGAUUGAACGCUGGCGGCAGGCCUAACACAUGCAAGUCGAGCGGUAGCACAGAGAGCUUGCUCUCGGGUGACGAGCGGCGGACGGGUGAGUAAUGUCUGGGAAACUGCCUGAUGGAGGGGGAUAACUACUGGAAACGGUAGCUAAUACCGCAUAAUGUCGCAAGACCAAAGUGGGGGACCUUCGGGCCUCAUGCCAUCAGAUGUGCCCAGAUGGGAUUAGCUAGUAGGUGGGGUAACGGCUCACCUAGGCGACGAUCCCUAGCUGGUCUGAGAGGAUGACCAGCCACACUGGAACUGAGACACGGUCCAGACUCCUACGGGAGGCAGCAGUGGGGAAUAUUGCACAAUGGGCGCAAGCCUGAUGCAGCCAUGCCGCGUGUGUGAAGAAGGCCUUCGGGUUGUAAAGCACUUUCAGCGGGGAGGAAGGCGAUAAGGUUAAUAACCUCAUCGAUUGACGUUACCCGCAGAAGAAGCACCGGCUAACUCCGUGCCAGCAGCCGCGGUAAUACGGAGGGUGCAAGCGUUAAUCGGAAUUACUGGGCGUAAAGCGCACGCAGGCGGUCUGUCAAGUCGGAUGUGAAAUCCCCGGGCUCAACCUGGGAACUGCAUUCGAAACUGGCAGGCUAGAGUCUUGUAGAGGGGGGUAGAAUUCCAGGUGUAGCGGUGAAAUGCGUAGAGAUCUGGAGGAAUA